rnacentral:rRNA from 1 species
UACGUAGGGGGCGAGCGUUGUCCGGAUUUAUUGGGCGUAAAGAGCUCGUAGGCGGCUUGGCAAGUCGGGUGUGAAACCUCCAGGCUCAACCUGGAGACGCCACUCGAUACUGCCAUGGCUAGAGUCCGGUAGGGGACCACGGAAUUCCCGGUGUAGUGGUGAAAUGCGUAGAUAUCGGGAGGAACACCAGUGGCGAAGGCGACUACCUGGCCUGUUCUUGACGCUGAGGCGCGAAAGCUAGGGGAGCAAACGGG